rnacentral:rRNA from 1 species
CUGUGAAGAUGCAGUGUACCCGCGGCAAGACGGAAAGACCCCGUGAACCUUUACUAUAGCUUGACACUGAACAUUGAGCCUUGAUGUGUAGGAUAGGUGGGAGGCUUUGAAGUGUGGACGCCAGUCUGCAUGGAGCCGACCUUGAAAUACCACCCUUUAAUGUUUGAUGUUCUAACGUUGGCCCGUAAUCCGGGUUGCGGACAGUGUCUGGUGGGUAGUUUGACUGGGGCGGUCUCCUCCUAAAGAGUAACGGAGGAGCACGAAGGUUGGCUAAUCCUGGUCGGACAUCAGGAGGUUAGUGCAAUGGCAUAAGCCAGCUUGACUGCGAGCGUGACGGCGCGAGCAGGUGCGAAAGCAGGUCAUAGUGAUCCGGUGGUUCUGAAUGGAAGGGCCAUCGCUCAACGGAUAAAAGGUACUCCGGGGAUAACAGGCUGAUACCGCCCAAGAGUUCAUAUCGACGGCGGUGUUUGGCACCUCGAUGUCGGCUCAUCACAUCCUGGGGCUGAAGUAGGUCCCAAGGGUAUGGCUGUUCGCCAUUUAAAGUGGUACGCGAGCUGGGUUUAGAACGUCGUGAGACAGUUCGGUCCCUAUCUGCCGUGGGCGCUGGAGAACUGAGGGGGGCUGCUCCUAGUACGAGAGGACCGGAGUGGACGCAUCACUGGUGUUCGGGUUGUCAUGCCAAUGGCACUGCCCGGUAGCUAAAUGCGGAAGAGAUAAGUGCUGAAAGCAUCUAAGCACGAAACUUGCCCCGAGAUGAGUUCUCCCUGAGACUUAGAGUCUCCUGAAGGAACGUUGAAGACGACGACGUUGAUAGGCCGGGUGUGUAAGCGCAGCGAUGCGUUGAGCUAACCGGUACUAAUGAACCGUGAGGCUUAACCUUACAACGCCGAAG